AAUUAAUAAGGUCAGAAAUACAAUUCACACACUACUACUAGCUAAUAAUCUUAAUUUAAAAUAAUUCAUAAAUAACAAAUAGUAAAUAACAAAAAAAGUAAAAAUUUAAAAAACUGUAAGAAGCAAAUUGAGAUAAUAUGAACCUCAAAAUCAAGAGUCGACACCAGCUGUGAAAUGAGAUAAAGGAAAUGGAGAGAAGUGAAAAAUCAAAAUGCGACGAGGUGUGCAAACCGAACAAGAAGAGAGAGCAAGAGUAUUGAGAUAAGAGAAAAAAUAGGUUAAAACAGAAAGAGACUAAAUAAAAUGAGUUUCUCUCUAUAUUUAGAGAAAGUUUAAUAACUUAUUUCCUUAUUUUAAAUUUUUUUAGAAAUAAAAUAAGAGCAUAGAGGAUGCGUUGAACACAACAUUGAUUACCUUGACUCACCUUAAUUUUUGCAAUUUUAUCAUGAAA
rnacentral:lncRNA from 1 species